UCCCCGGUCGUCUAACGGCAGGACAGUAGACUCUGAAUCUACUAAUCGUGGUUCAAAUCCACGCCGGGGAUCCA
rnacentral:tRNA from 1 species